UCUAAAAGUAGAUAAUUUCAAUAUUUUUGAUAGUUUCAAUUUACAAGCAUCGUAUGUAAUUGAUUGUUUUCGAAUAGAAGUGCUAUCGGUGGGCACAUAAAUAAGUUAUUACAUAGUAACUAUUUCAAUUUAAUAAACACUUAUAUUUCACAAUAUUUAUCGUCUAUAAAAAUACAAAGCAGUCCAACAAACGUUAUCAGAAUUAUUAUAUUAUAUAUAACCGGAGUACGAAAUGGAAUUGUUUAAAUCCCAAUUAUAUAUAUUCGCAAUUCUUUUAAUAUUCGCUUAUUUUGUUAAUGCAUGUACAGUUUGCGCAGCUCGCCGCAUGAGGGACCCAAGAGAUAAAAUAAUUAAACUUAUGUUGCCUAAGAGGAGACAUCUGUUUCGACUAAAGAACCACACGUCACCGUACUAGCUGCGCCAAUGAGUUCCCAGUUAAGUUGUCGCGAACAGGCCUCGUCAUCGACGGUGCCUUACCACAAACUUGAGCUUUAUAUAGUACUAACUGUAUUACAUCUGGCAGGCGCGACGAAUGAUUCAGCGAAAAAAUUCAAUCACUUCUGAACCACCCGUGACUCGUCCGACAAGCUUCUCCACUCUAGCAUCACAAAUAAUUGACAUUUUAAGCCAGUUAAAGAAGGGCAAGCUUCUGAAAACCAAAGAAAAUUAUAACAUGCUACUGGUGAAAUUAAAACAAGACUUUCAUACUACUACAACAACUGAAUCUGUUAGAAUUUGUUCGAGAUGUAAAAAAUCAUAACUUUUCUCGGGAUUUGAAGUUUUAUUUCUAUUAAUAGAUACACUGUUGCAUGACUUCUUACUGUUGCCUUUAAAGGCGUGCUCAGACGAUAAUAAUCUCAGGCUUCACUCAAUACCAUUAGAAAGCAAGAAAAAAGAUUUUUUAAUGAACUUUGUCUCUCUAUCGAGAAAGAAUUUCACGUUUCUGAAUUUUAAGUCGGUAUGUAAAGGUUUUCGCUGACGAUUCUGCUUAAAACAUUCUCUUAUCAAUUAGACUUUUUUUCUUGGAUCCUCGCCAAGUGCCAGCCAUGGAGAUAUUUCUGUGAUCAGUCUGACUCGAAAGAAUGAUGUUAAGUAUCCAUCAGUGUUAGACCCAUGUCAGGACCUAUUAGAUCCUAAGCGUAGUUAGACUAAGUAAUCAACAGCUGUGCCCUUCCUCCAUAAAUAUCGCCUUCUUUGUCUUACAUGCGCUGCUUUGAUUCCACUGUCCGCAAAUUGACUAUAACGCGACAUCGCUUCUACUUUCUUAUGGUUUGUUGCUUUGUGUUGAAUUCUUGCUUUCGAUUAAAACACUGCUUUUAUCAAAUUAAUCAUUAUUUAAUACCGUUUAUGUAAGCCCGAAGUGAUUUUUAUGUUGUA